CUUCCUCAGUGCUGGGCACUGAUCCUGGAUGCAGUAGGCUCAAGGACUGUAGCUGUGGGCACACAUUAUUUGUGAUGAAGUGUCAUUCUAUUACCAGUGGAUUUUUUUGUUUUGUUUUGUUUUUUUAAAUAAAGCGGACUGUCCUUCCAGCAAUGACAGCUCAGACAAAUCCUAUAUGCUUCUGCAAUCUUAACUUCACCCUUUGGAUCCCCGUGAAUGCUACUUCUGCACAUCAGGAGUUGUGUUGCUGGCAAAGCGAGGGCGGUGGCAAUUGGUAUUAAUGGAAAUGGACAAACAACGUAAGCCUUCAUAAGGAUAUUCACAGACAUCCAAAGAGGAAUCCAGCAAAGAGGGAUCAAUCCCAAGCUGCCUACUGUAGUGUUUUAUUUUCAGAGUGUUUAUUUUCAGAGUGACACUACUGUCUUUGUAAAUUCAAAGGAGCCCCACAAGUUAAUAUUCAAACCAAACACGACCACCAGCAUCCUGUUGCCUAUGCACAACAUGCCGUGUCACUUCAUACAGUGUCCAGCUGCACCUCUUCCUACUAUGCUAGAAAGGUGUAGGGCUCCCCUAAGUCCUGCAUUACAACCUCCAAGAGUGCUCCCUUUUAAUCCUAUGAGUUAUAUCUAUUAAGAGAAAUGCACAGGAAACUUGCAUUAUCAGCAGUAAUGAAUAUAAAAAAGUACAGCUAACCUUGUUACUACAUACUUAGGGAAACUACAGGAUACCGUGAGAGUUCUUUUUCUAUUGUAAAUACAGAUACAGAAAUACAACAUAGAAAAAGAAAAGUUGCCAUUUUGAGGAUUUCAAUCUGUAGCCAGUGAGCUUUUCUUCCACACUGGGAUGUUGUAUUUAGUACCAACUUUGCCUGCAGGAAACAAUACAAAAUCCUGUCCAGGACGUUAGGAAUAAUUUCCUAUAAAUGUAGAUAGAUUCUUGUCAGUCAUCUCUGUUUAUAGAUGGGUUGGGUCUUGGAAAAAGAAAAAAAUAUUAAGAUUAAUUGCAUCUGGCUAUAUCUCAGUCACUCAUGUGCUUCCUCUCUUCUUUGAAAGUCAUUGCAGUCUUGUCUACAUUGGUUCCCUCCACAGAGAUAUCCCUCCCACAGCCCCAGUACACAGCAGAGACUUGCAUUCCUGCAGACUAUCUUUAAUUCUGAAAAUACACAUUCAGCCCAAUGAAGAAAAAUGAAACUGGGUGCCUGGACUGAUAUGAAGGACAUCACUGAAUGUACAACUGCAGGCAAUGAACAGUGUGUUGUUUGCUUCCUACCUACAACAGGUUUUAUCCACGUGACAUGCAUUUAAAUUACAGGAUAAGUUUGAAAUUAGAGGACAAGCAAAAAACCUUAAUAAUAAGAGAUAAAGGAAGAGACAGAAAAUGCAAACAACCCUCCCUAACCAUCCUCCUUACCACUCACCAGGAUACUCCUGUUUAAUCUUGCCUUGAGGUGUCAUUAAUAAACAUUACAUGGAGAGAUACUAUAUGGGGGUAUAAACACUUGUACAUGAGUACAUACAGUUUCAUGGAAGAACAGGCUUAUUUCCUGGGCUAGUUCACUCAAUACAUCAUCUAUUACCACUUCCUCUUUCAGACCUUCCAACAAGUCUCUUCCUACCAAUUCUCCUUUAUGAAGUAUCAAAUAGAUGAAGCUCACUUGCAUACAUCAGAAUUAGGAAUUCUGAAUUAGGAAGUAGGAAGAAGAAUCAGAAUUAGGAAAUAGUAUUCUUAGAAUUAGGAUAAAGUAUCACAUCAUCUGCUGAAAAAUGUUUGGAAAUCAACAAUAGAAACAGCUACAUCUCUUCUCCCACUCUUUGGGGCUUACACAGUGUAGUGGAACUAGUCUGUAUGAAAUACAUGAAGUGGUCAUCAGAGGGAUUGUGUCCUGGCUGGUCCUUGUCAGAGAACAGGCUUACCAACUGGUAUUUCUCUCUCCUGUUCAUUCCUUGUUUAUAUAAGCUAUCAAAUCAACCUCUGCAGGAAGGUCUGAACUCCCCCAAAUUAACGUCCUGAACUUCUGAAUUUUAAAUUCUUUCUUACACUACAGAGAAUACUGCCAUUUGGGGGAAAAGACAGUAUGUUUGAUUUUUGGCACAGUUGUGUGAGGUAGUCAUUAAUGCUAGACAAAUUCAAAAAAGCAAACAAGUUUAGUCUAGCAAAACAGAGGGUAACAUUCUGAUUACAAAAUAGGAAAUCAAGUUAUCAAAACCAAAACAAAAAGUAGGACUCAGAACAUAACUUGAAACAUCUGCCUGAAGCAUUUUCUGAGUCACGUCUCAAAAGUAGAUAAGGGAGAUUUAAGUUAGUUGUACUGAAUCCUGAGUUUUCAGGAGACAUGGAAGACAAACUUUAGCCAAGAUUUCAUAGCGUUUCCAUUUGAUGGUCAACAUUUAUUUCUACAGAUGAGGGAAGAACACACCUCUGUUAUGCAGUUCCAUAAGAGCUAAAGCUAUUUACUAUUUUUCUAAUCAAUGUCAAUUAGAAAUGUUUCAAUAUUUAUAAUUUCCCUACACUUAACUAAAUAUCUACAUGAACGGGUUUCAAUACAGUAGUUUUAUACAAAAUAAACCUGGCAAAAGACAGGAAGAAUAAGAAAUAUUUGGAUGUACUGAUCUUAUAGCCAUUACAACUUUUCAGAAAGAUACAAAGAAAUUCACCAUGUUCUCAUCAGUACGCCAUAGCCUCUACCUUUGAUAGUCCAAAAGCACAUUACUGGAUAGAUUUUAAAAACAGUAUUGGGAAAAUGAGAUCUAGCUGCUGAUUGCAAUAUCAGAACUAUGUGCUACAACUACAUGCUAGAAAAGAGACAGGAGUGAGACAUCAUUUCCUGAGUGGAGGUGGAACAGGACAGAUGCAAGACACUGUCUAAGAGUCCAUGGAGAGAGAUCAUAUAAAGAACAAAGUGGCUCACAGUUCUGAUAAAGCAAAGAACAUUCUUUCUUACUCAGUCAAUGAAAAUUAUUACAUUUAAUAUAGGCCAUUAAUCUUCUCACAUGCCCUAGAGACCUAAGUGAGUCUAUGCACACUGUUCUGAUGUUUUUGAUGGCAACCAAUUAAUCUUAAUGAGAGGGAGUACUGAGUUUAGAGGUUCUAUCUCAUUGCACUGCAAUUUGUUUUCACAGGCAGUUGCUUGAAUUUUCCUUUACAACAUGGAGGCUAUGAACAUUUCAUUUAUUUUGACAAUGCAAUCAUAUCACAAAGGGACACUGAUUGAUACAACUCUGUUUAAAGUGUUACGUUUUUAAAAUUGCAGUUCAGAGGCCCAUUCAGGUACCAAGCCUUCAGUGAUUUAUUUAAGGUUUUACUGUGUUCUCACUUCAGUUGCUCUUGGAGGUUUUUCUCUUGGCCUCUGCCCUUGGCUCCCGCUUUGACCAUCUUGUGUGUCUUUCAUCUGCUGUUGUCUGAAGGCUUCAACAUCCAAACCACUGCCUUAUUUUAUUUUUUUUUCCUGCUCAACAACAGCAACACAAAACCAGUGGCAAAGAAAUCUGACAGAGGCACUACAACAGUCACCACUUUAGUAAGUUCCUUAAAGAAUAUCCAUCAUGAAGGAGUUGCUGUACAUAAAUAUGCUGCAUUGAUUCCAUUAAUCAAAAAAUAAAAUUCUGCUUAAACUACAAAAACUGAAAUGUAGGCAAACAAACACAAGAAUGAAAAACUAACUUUACCAUGCUGACUGAUAAAAGAAAAACAACCCAUUCCUUUCAGCUCCUGAAUUUAAGAGUUGUGUUAAAAAUAUAUACAGAGUGGGGUAGGGACUCGAUCUUUCUGGCUGAAAGCAAUAGUACAUACUAAGAUGUUUCCAGAGACCUUGGACUUUGCAUUUGCACUGACAAGAAGUUAUCUGGGUAAUUACUGUGAGCAACUGGAUUGACUUUUAAUUAUUAGUUUCAUCACAGUUCCUUUGUAUGGAAAAACACUGUAUUAUUUAUUUUUAAAUUUCUUCUUUAAAUGAGGUAAAACAUAAAAAAAUUUGCUAGUAAUUGUGGCACUUUCAGUGGCCUUUCCCAUGGGCCAUAUUACAAGCUUCUGUCUUCUUCCUUAUGUAGAAAAAUUGUAGAUGUCCAAACAUCAUAAAGAAGGAGGUAUUUAUUAUAAGGCAAACUUCUUUCAUUAGUCUGUGAAGCAGGCAGGACUUGUCAGAAACCCUCUUGCAGCUGGGAACAGGACUGCUGGAUGGGAGCACAAACACAGUAGGCUCCCUGUUUCC